AGGGCCCGGAGCCCUCAGUAGUCAGUCUACUGGAAGCCGUUAAUUAGUAAACAUCAAGAAGUUAUAAAGUACAUAAACAAUCGUAUUAGUGGUAGCGUCUCUCAUAUUCAACACACAACCCGGUCUAAACGACCUAAUAAAACGACGCGUCGCGGCGGAAUCAAACACCGCGCUCGCUUGGAGUACAAACGACGCAUUCGCGAGUUACAAGAGCAAUUGGCGCUUGGGAUCCCGCAAGCCUCCAGCCAUCCGGGCGAACCUUGUUAUUCCCCGUUGUCGGAAGCCUCCACCCUCGACCUUGGACACCGAGAACCAGACGUCGAAGUUAUUGAUUUAACAAACGACAGUGAUUGCGAAUCUACCGUACUUGUCAUACAGCCGCCUCUAUCGCCAAUUCCUUUUAUCGAUACGAACCAGGCCGCCAAGGUCCAUUCCCAUCAGGAGAUACCUACGGAGAUAUUAUCUCGAUACAUAAGCGAACUACCUAAUAUUCAGAAUAAUCUAAUUCCUACUGAUAUUUAUAAUUGGUGCGCUCAAAUGCAAGCAGUGUAUAACAGUCACGAAUAAAUACUCAUAGCUGCCUAAAUCUUGGCAUCCGCUCAUUUCUCCUACUUUCUCAUUACGCCUGCCCCUACCGAGUCGCUACGGUUGUAGGAACGUGUAUUCGUUCGCCAACCCUCUGGACGAUUCGGCGGACCCACCUGAAGGAAAUAACGUUAUAAUCCUACCGGCAACGCUUCAUCCUACGUCGAUAAUACUUACCUUACGCGCUCCACUUUACCUACAGUCGGGGAUACCUGCUGCCGGUACGUCCUAUACUCACCUUCCCUAUUCCAAACGACGUUCUGAGCCGCUCCAGGACGCCGUUCCUCCCCGUCUG